rnacentral:misc_RNA from 1 species
GGAUGCGACAGCUCUCUCGUCUGAGCGUUCCGGAUGUACCAGCCGACGGGGUUUGACGCAGCUUUGUCGUAGGAGCGAGCUUGCUCCAGGAAGGCGUCCACGUUCAGCUGGUCCGCAAGCGACGGGCACCCUCCGGCCAGUUUCAUCAGCACAGAUAUCACAACCUUGGGGUCCUGCACUACAAGAAGAGCCGCUCGAUCACAAGUCAGCUCUGCAGCCCGG